rnacentral:rRNA from 1 species
UGUCGCUACCGGCUAACGUUGAUUGUAGUUCGAGGACAGCAGCAGAGGCAGAGUGGAGCAGUCUAGAGUGGUUAGGAGGUAGAGGCAGACCAGAAGGGAGCUAGAGGCGCUCCUCUAUCAGGUUUUGGGAUUGGGGGAUCGGAGGGCCGACUUGGGCUCCUCCUCCUCCUUCUCCGCCUCUACCGGAAGUACCGCCGCGACCUCCGGCUAGACGCACGAGAGAGGCGGCUCCGCGCGGCGGCGGUGGGGCGGCAGUUCCUGCGGCGGCUCGUGCGUUGUGAGUUCGAGGCAAGAGAUAGAUUAGGUUCCCUUUAUCGAGUUUUCCCCCUAUAUAAUGCCUAGAAAGACUACCGUACGUCACAGUUUAGUCACUUCGACUCACACUAUCCUGAUAGGACAAACGUUUUCGAAUAUAGUGUACUACGACAUCGUAGUAGACGCAACUUCCUCUAUAAUCGAUGAAACUCCCUAGUGAGUCUCUACGGUCUACUCUCAGAAGUCGACUUCUGUAACGUUUGUUACAACUAACAGAAAGUCAGUGUAAAUGCAGGACUUUCACUCCUCCUGUACAGAGUUCGGGAACCGUAUACAGAAGUGGAUGAACUUUCGUCAGCUAGAAGACUGUCACAGGCGUUGUGCCGUCGUCGAUGCAAAUCUGUUCGUCACCGUAACCAGAAACUAUUACAACAAGAACGGCUUAGUGAAGGCUGACCAUUUCGUAGGGGUUCUAAACCGAGCUCACGAUCGAGACAACGGUUGUUACAAUGAGCAUCGAAGCCGGUCUGCGAUAGUGAUCGCAAAUCGAUACCUCUUGAGUGGUACUCCCUUCUAGAAUGACUGCAACCUUUUGAGCCAGAGGCAGACGAGCUUCUGGACUGACGAGAACGACGUCCACCUAGACGAUCCACCAACGUACGAGUCAGUGACGUAGCCUGCAAACGGGAACUGUAUGAACUCAAACACGAUAGCUGUAUACAAGGACAUAAGGCCCGUAAUAAUAGAAUGGUCGUCCAUAACGCUGUAGUUUAUACGAGUGAAGAAUACUGAAGUGAGGCGUGCUUACACCUCGAACUUCCACUUCGUCCCCUUGGACGAAAGGCGGCAAAUCAGGAUGCAAACCAACGAGUACAAUAGUCUGAGAUGUCGAGAAGUGAACAGUGACUUUCACUCCAUAAAGACUUGUACGAACACUUUCAAUGGGCGGACCUAAAUGGAAAUACCGUAGUCUAUGAACAAGAGCUUUAAAACUCCCCAAAAACACAUCUUCGAGCGUGAGACGCGAGGGAUAAAGUCUGCAAACUGUAUUUGGGAUGUUUAUGAUUACAACACCUCUUGUAGCAAUUUCGUGAACGAAACCACCAUCGAUGAUAAGUCCGAAGUCUAAGUUCGCUUCUCUGAGAACGUCGACAACGACCUUACAAGUCAUCAUUUCGAUUUCCCUAACUCACCUCGUACCUAUGGCUACGUAGUUUACGACGACAAAACCAACGAUCGCUUCGUGUAUGGUAGUGAGAACGGGAACUUCCGGAGAAUCCACAUCAAAAGUGGUAACGAUGAAACUGUCUGCUCCGAGAUCUACGACCACUCGAACUUAGUGGUUCUACACUUCACCUAGCAGACCAUACAUCACCUGUUAGUCGAGAAGAAACACAGCGGUACCAGUUAAGUUGUACCAAUUGGUAGGACCUGAGGGAAAGUGAAUAAAAUUACUCCAGUGUCCCUCUUCGAUAUUAUAAUCUUUAUGACUUUCCUAUGGUCCGUAAAUGAGUCCGGACACCUCACGAGGCACGAUAUCUCGGUAAUUUGAGAAAAGAUCGUAGCGAAACGUUCAAAUGUUAGUUAUUGGGUUUACUUCCUCUCUUCUCUUCACCAUAGAACGAGAGAGGACCUAGUUUCUUCGGUCUUUGAAGUUACCUAGUCGCACUGUCAUAAUAAAACUGUGGUUUUUUACACGUCCGUAACGCCUGUGAAAAAUUACACCGUGUAGCUAAUGUGUUACAGGACCCGGGGAGGACCCAAAACCAGGACCUCUGAGAACGUCGUGAACUAUCUUGGUAAGUAAGAGGCGUACGAAGUUGGGUCCUUCAUAGCCGAAGACAAAGUUCUGAGAGUUCUCUAUGUAGACCUGUCAUGUCACUGAAGGUAUAAGAGAGAAGAAAUUUAAGAGUCAACAAACUUUCAAGUCGGAACUACUUACAUCGACGUCAGUUCAGUGAAAAUAGACGUAACGUAGUUAACAGUUCAGUCGUGUAUAGUCCUUUAAGAGUUAAUAGUCCGGUCGUCUAACCCUCGUAACGUAAAAGUCACCUCGCGUACUGUAGCUAUGAAUAGUUAUUAGACGUAGCUCAACUUAGUUAUACCCUAGUUUAACGACGUGUGGUAGAACUCGAACGGUUAACGAGGUUGGGUGUUAAUGCAUUAUACCGCGAACUAAGCAAUCUAGUAAGUUAAACGAGACAUCACCCAAGACUUUUCAAAGUCCCUUAGUCAAGUCGUGGAGUAGGAAGCUUUCUCAUGGUUAACCAGCUUCUUUCACUUUGUGCUAGUAAGCUCAUACGUCAAAAUAGAGGUGACCACUAGGAAAUAAGUAGAUUGUUCUUAUAACUACAUGUUUACCCACGUGACUUUUAAGAAAACGUACAAGAACUCUCUGUACCACUUUUCGACAGGAUAUCGACCGGGUCGUAAGAAGUAUACAACUCCCGACAACGGCUACGUAGACUUUUUCUGCAGUAGAGGAAUCCAAAGGUCUCACAUGCACAUUAGUACUUACUUCCUGACCGCUGUUAUGGACAUGUUACAGAACUACUUACGUAAAACCAAUGACCCCGCAUACCACGGGUCUUUUGACUGUAUUUGUAUUCAAACUGUCGUCGACCAGAAAACACCUGACGCUGGCUAAAAUAGCACUUCCCCAAUUCACCUUCCAGACAAGUCUUUCGAUUAGUGAACUUACUUCUCCAAGUCAACCCACAUAGUUGCCUUCUCCCUCUAUAUGGUUGGUCACUCCUUCCGCAGUUCUCUUUAGGGAACGUUGUUGACCAACUAAUGUUAUUCGACAAGAAAAGUCAAAAAAGACAGGAAGUUUUUAAUCCACGUCUACUGGCAGGACUCCAAGCCUUAAGUCGUCAAGCCUGAGACAAAGUUUGAGAGACGUGGGUACCAGUUUUUGAAAGAGAUUCAUACACCCUCCUAACGGACACCUAUAUACAAAAGGGUUACGAUCUUGUACAAAGGGUGAACCGUAGAUGGAGAAGAUUUCUACUCACCGUACCCUUCCUUAAUCCUUGAGCACGUCCCUUUCGACAAGUAUACGAAUAGGUAGUGUCAGCUUUAUGUCGCGUUUUUGUUACCCUACUUUGAUAACAAGAAAAUAAUCCACCAUAUCGUGCCGAAAAUGCUAGUAAAAAGGGAGAGGAGGUCGUUAACUCGUUUAAAAGAAGGCCAACCCGUUAAAACGAACGCAAAGAUUUUUUAUCGUAGAAUUUACCAUCGUUCCUCCAUCGAGAACGUCGAUAAUUAACAAACGUCUGUAAACAAUCAAGUUUGACAGGCUUCCCGUUAGAUCUUAGGAGGAAACAGGUUAGGCAAGAACUAUAAAUGCUUGAACAAGAAGUUUGAAGUGGUUUGAUAUUCUCACUGAGUCGACUAUUCCACUUCGUUCUCCAGGAAGCACCAGAACCUCUAGAAAUACAAGUUCGCGUUAGAGAUAAAUUACUGCUGUACAUAGAUUCCGAGUACCGACAAUACGUAGAUUACUAAUUCUCAAGGUACUUAAGAAGUCUAAUACUGUCACUUAACCCAUCGUAGGGACGACACGUCGCACCAUAGAAUCUUUAAUAAAGAUACGAUGCGGGUUGUUGAUACAAUAGUAGUUACACCAGCGGGGAGGACGAACUCGACGAUACGAUAGAAUUACCUCUUCUUUCGGGGGACGUGUCCUUAUCAUUUCUUUAUGCACUUGUCUUAAGACUACGUGACCGGUUACCGUGUUUUGUACGAAGACAACUUGCUCCGGUAUAGUUACCGUCACCGUGUUUUCCCCUAUGACACCACCCGACACCGACCCCGUAAGAUAAAUAUCUUUUCGAACACGGUUAGUACCAGUUGGAAAAGGACCUCCGAGGUGGUUUACUUUCCACAUCACGGAGUGGUGUUCAAUAAGUUCCACAACCUUCCACGUACUUGUGUUCCUCUCUGUUAGGGUCCCCAUGGGAAACCUCCCAAAGACGACUUACGAAGUUAGCACAACACUGUCUACUCCACUCCGUCCUUUUACGACUUACACCUUCACUGUACUUAAGUAUAUCUGAAAGAUCUCGAGCGAAGACCUUCCUCCAACGUCUACAUAUGCUUUGGAAAGAACAACCUAGAACACCCGCACACAACAGAAGUCUACAAGGAAGUCGACUGAGACGAUGUCGACUACUCUCGGAACUCUACUGACAGGAACGACAAAAACCUCUGUCACAAGACUUUAACGUCUUCCUCCGAGGACAACUCCAUAACGUUUCCGAACACUUGACAGAGCUAGCAACACGUAGUGCUUGUCCCAGGGAUGGAUAAGUUUGACAGCCAGAAGAUGGUAACGUGACGUCGUCUAAAAGAGACCCGACAAACGUCUACUACAAAAGAAAUACGUCAACGUAUAGCUUCUGUUCGAGUGUGGGACGUCAUAGUCUUUGGUCGUUUCAAAGAUAAAGGUAAGAAUGUUUCGCUACACUCCAAUAUGACCCAGUCAAAAAUCGACUACUUUUACUGAAUCCUCUGGCAGGUAACGGAUCACACUCCUAACUUCUUUGCCAAACACAGGAAGUUCUCGAACGAUCCGAUUAUAAUCUAUAACUCUGUCGAUUACGAGAGUUGUAUGGUGACAUGGACUUUCUACGAAAUGCCCUUUUGGUCAGGGUACCCUCCCGGGUAAACAACAGCAACGAAGGGUGAAAGAGACUCGAACAGCAGAGUUCUCUUCGGUCCCAAGCCCUCGAACAAGUCCACGAAGAGUCUGAGUAGAGGAGUCUCGAUCCUGACGUUGCGGACUGCAUUUCUACUUACUACUUGAGGCAAAAAUAAGAAAACGACCUGACCUUACGAUAUAGAAGCAAUCAUAAGGUGGAGAAGUAAAUGUAGGUACUAGGACAUAUAGGCAGUAAUGCCCGCUCUCCGCAAACUCCUUAGUCUAGAUAUUUACUUAUCCCAACAUGUACAUUGUAAAACAAAAGACAAAGACAUUUGUAAUCCAUAUAUCGGUUAUAAAAAGUACAAACUGCAUCGUCAUCAGUUGGAGAUCAACACUGUCAUUGAACAUAAAACUUGACACCUAAUUCCGACACUACCACAACUAUGUUUUAUUACUUGGCAGAUGUGACUACUUACUAGACAUUCGUGUAAGCUCGGUGAUGUCAACAUAAACAGUGGAACCGCACACUAAAAGUAAACCGGUCUCCAAAAUAGUCGA